UCCCGUCGUGGCGACACAGCACGGUGGUGGUAGGCCGAAGGGGACAGUGAGCUGUGCCAGGGCCGGUUGUGCCAUUUCUCUCAGUCCUUUUCUCUGAGCGGCUGCGGCUGCCGGAUUGCCAAGUUGGAGCCCUUCUUCGGGGUGUGGGAGCCUCGGACGCUUCGGUGUCCGGCCGGGGGCUUGGGCAGCGCGGGGCCCGCGGGAAGAGCACCUGCGCGCCGUCGCCCGCACCCACGGCCGGGUCCCCUCCUUCUUUCCUCGUCUCCUCCGAACCUCUCUGGCUCUGCCCGCCCAGUUUCCAAAGGGAAAGGGCCGAGGUCUACAGCCGGUGGGACAGUUUUCCCGAAGGACGGUUCGGGGUCUUCAAGUCAUGGCAGAGACAAAAGCUUUGGCAACUGAAUAACACCCUGAACAAUAAUCCACUGUUGGGUUUCCUGGCUCUAUCAUACAUCAGUGGACAGUCAUGGGCAAGUUCCUGAACUUCUCCGAGCCUCAGGCUUUCUUAUCUCUAAGUGGGUCAGAGAAGAUCAGCUACCUCUUUCACCUGCCCCUCCAAGAGGUGCAAGAACAAAACACAGAUUUAAUUUCUCCAUAAAUUAUCCUGCCACACCAUUCCUGUGCUUAAAAUCUUUUCUGACCUCUUUUUUUGGGGGAAGAGAAAGACUACCAGUAGUAUGAUGAAAACCCUCCUUUGUUAGAAACAAAAGGACCAGGAUAAAUGGAGUUGAAGAGGAUUUGCAUCAUCUAAAGUAGCUUGUCAAAAAAAUCAUGAAUCUGGGCACUUGGAAAAAUAGAGCUACUGCUUCAA